GGUAAUGUCAUCAUCAUACAUUUGCAUAAGCAGGAUGUUUUAUGCAUUGUUUUUCUUUGAGCAGGUACCUCCUCAUUUGUGUGCACUUGCUGAUGUGCUCUCAACCUGCCACAGGCUUCCCCAAAGCUAGUGUCUGUGAAUGCUUCUCAGAUAAUAAUUAGGAGUAUUCACCUCCUCUACAUCCUUUUUCCAACAAAGACUUGAAAAAUGCAACCUUAUUUUUAUUUUUUUUCCCAGUUUUAUCUCUUUUCUUCUUUGUUCAGGUACUGGCUGCAUGGAGGGCAGGUGCCUUUUAUCAAAAGACAAAGAGUCGUCUUCUCCUUCAGAAAUGUUUAUGUGCCUUCCACAACACCAAAUUGAGGAAAUAGAUUACCUCUCAGAAAGCCAUCUGUUUCAGCAUCCUGUGAACUCUCAGAACAUAUUACUCUACCACAACAGUCUAUUUGCGACAGUUUGCUCUCAUCUUCCUGCAACCCAUCUUACAAAUGAGACAUAAAAUUGAGGCUCUGGAUUCUGACGGACCCAAUCCUGCAACAUUUAUGCACCUGUUUAAGCUGAAUCAUGUGAGGAUUCAUGGUAAAUGGAAUGUACAGAAUGACUAACACUUGAGGAACUACGGCAAUCGCUCCAGAGCGGUUUGCAGUUCUUCAGGAUAAUGAGCAAUGCAUGAAACUAGGGUGCAUUAUCUCCUCCUCCCCAAAUCUGGCCAGGAUGCUGUAAAGGAUGGACUUGGAGCAAGUGCAGAGUAAAAUGUCCUCUCCUGCACUCAGUAUGUAUUAUAUUCAAUUCUUUCUAUCACUGUGGUAAGACUCCUGAUCGUGCAGAGUUUAACCCUCAGCAAUGCAACAAGAGGUCUAGGUUUUCAUUGCAGAGUCGCACUUGCUGAUGUUAUACAGCCUCACUAAUUGAUUACAAAAUAAUUCAGCAAGCUGCACUGUUCCUGUGUCUUCUAUAUAGCUUGCUGCCUCCUCAUUCAACACUGGCUGUACUUCAAGGUCCCGGUCCCCCCGUUUGAAGCCUGAUCAACUGAGGAACGACCGUUCUCUCCGACCUACAUCUUUCAGAGGAAUAAAGCAACAGAUGACACCAAGUAGAGGAUUCACAGAGCUCUUUGUGCAAGCCGCUAGCAGUGGAGCUCUCCAGUGAAGGGCACCAAGCUUAACUCUCAGCUCACCCUGCAAGGAGGGGUUUUCUUCAUUUCAGUUAAUAGCAGCAUUUCCAUCGACUUAGGCAGGAGCAGAGUCAAAUCCCAACAUGUCUUUUAAGACAAGCUACUCCUCAGCAGAAGCAGCAUCUCAGCAGAUAGGACGUCCCUGCCCCUGAGAGAGUCCUCAUCCAGAGAAACCGACUCCCACCACACACUGAAGAAUCCCCCCACUUACUGCUCAGUCUCCAUCGAGAUUUCUGUUCUUGCACAUUGCCACCGUGAUUGGCAACUGAAACGGAAGGAUCAGACAAAAGAACCUGAAACACCACCUGGGAUGGAACUGAAAAAGAUGCGGGAGCAGAUAUCUCCAUCUGUAUUCUCCAGUAAGAGGGGAAGCCAGCUGUGGUGUGGUAGUCCCGAACCACAGGGGACUGAUGCUCUGCCCUGCUGCAUCUCGGGAAACCCCAAUGUCAGUCCCCGCACCAGCAAGGUCGCCUCAAAGCCUGUUUCCUCAUCCUCAGGCCAGUCACACUGCUGUGAAACUCCAGAAUAGGGUGAGUAAAAGGAGUCCAAGAACAAUAAAACGGAAGGAAAAUGAGGCUUUUCUCAGAUUUAUGCAGAAGGUAAAUUAUGGGGCUACUUACACCACCUAAAAUCACCUUCUCCCUAGGGGCCUUGAAUAUGCUCUAUUAUAAAAGCUGUAUACUGGACUGUGAAUUUGCCAUAUAUACUACAGUG
rnacentral:lncRNA from 1 species